GCCGGGUUCAGUCAGUGGCGCGCGCCUGUAAUCCAAGCUACUGGGAGGCUGAUCGCUUGAGCUCAGGGUUUCUGGGCUCCAGUGGACUAUGUCGAUUGGGUGUCCGCACUAAGUUCGGUAUCGAUAUGGAGCUCCUGGGUGAGCUCGAGACCCCCAGGUCGUUUAAGGAGGAGUGAACCGGCCCAGGUCAAGUGGUCCUCACUGCAGAGCUAUUUGGGCAGAGCUGAGCUCCAGCAAGGGGGAGCUUGAGCUCUCGCUCCU
rnacentral:SRP_RNA from 1 species